AAUUCUCAAUCCUCUUCAGAUUUGUCUGAGGGGCUUUGGAUAUGGAGGGUUGCAGGCUUUGUGAAUAGGUCAGCUCCUCUGAAAUGCAUUAGUGGAACUGUUUGCAGUUUGUUCCCAGGUGUGAUAAUUAUCUACGCCAUAUGGCACUGCUCUCUGUUGUUCUGCUUCUAACUGUCCAGAAGGACAAACUCUUUACUUUGAC
rnacentral:misc_RNA from 1 species